AUUUUUAUAGUUUAAAUAAAACAUUACAUUUUCUAAUGUAAAAAUAUAAGUAAUUAUUAUAAAUA
rnacentral:tRNA from 1 species